GAUGAACGCUGGCGGCGUGCUUAACACAUGCAAGUCGAGCGAGUGAGUUCUUCGGAACGAUCUAGCGGCGGACGGGUGAGUAACACGUGGGCAACCUGCCUCAUAGAGGGGAAUAGCCUCCCGAAAGGGAGAUUAAUACCGCAUAACAUCGUUGAAGGGCAUCCUUCGAUGAUCAAAGGAGCAAUCCGCUAUGAGAUGGGCCCGCGGCGCAUUAGCUAGUUGGUGAGGGAACGGCUCACCAAGGCGACGAUGCGUAGCUGACCUGAGAGGGUGAUCGGCCACAUUGGGAAUGAGACACGGCCCAGACUCCUACGGGAGGCGGCAGUGGGGAAUAUUGCACAAUGGGGGAAACCCUGAUGCAGCAACGCCGCGUGAGUGAUGACGGCCUUCGGGUUGUAAAGCUCUGUCUUUGGGGACGAUAAUGACGGUACCCAAGGAGGAAGUCACGGCUAACUACGUGCCAGCAGCCGCCGUAA
rnacentral:rRNA from 1 species